rnacentral:RNase_P_RNA from 1 species
GGGGGUAGUCGGACGGUCGCCCUGAAUAUCAGGGAGGAAAGUCCGGACUCCUGCAGGGAAGAUGGCUCCUAACAGGAGCAGUCCGUAAUGACUGGAAAGUGCCACAGAAAUAACACCGCCCUCUAUAAAAGGAGGGUAAGGGUGAAAUGGUGAGGUAAGAGCUCACCGUCCAGAAGGUAACUGCUGGAGCAAAGGCAAACCCCAUCUGGAGCAAGGUCAAGUAGAACCUCAGGGUCCCUGCCCCAACAGGUUCGGGUUGACUGCUUGAACCUGAAGGUAACUUUAGGUCCAGAUGAAUGACCGUUUAAACAGAAUCCGGCUUAUGAACUACCCUCCGUU